rfam:Schistosoma curassoni strain Dakar, Senegal genome assembly, scaffold: SCTD_scaffold0003763
AUCUAGCUGACGAUUAUCAAAUAGGACGAAACGCGCGUCCUGGAU